UCGCAUAGAAAUCUAUUUAAGAGAGUUGUAUGUUGGUAGAGUACUAAAAGUAGAGAAGUAAAAGGCACGCUUGUAACUGGGUACGGUAUGAAUACCCGCCGCUGAUUGUACGUUGUUCAGAUGUCCCUUUAGGGCUAUCUAAUAGCACCCUGUUCGAACAAAAAAAGUUAUUAAACGAACAUUUAAGAACAAAUGACGAUCAAACGAUUUGUCGAUAUCAAAUUUAAAAAAAAUUAACUUUUGGUGCCAGGUUCAUGGAGUUGAGCGCACUAAUUUUUCUGUAUUUGCACUCAUUGACAAAAGAUGGAAGCACAGUUGUGAAACACCAGAGAAAAUUUUAGGACUCGAUGGGUUAUUUUCUUUUGUACCAUCUAACCAAUAUUGUCUUACACUGUAUAUUUAACGAUUUUGUCUACGAAUACUGUUGACGAUUAUCACUGAAAUUAGUCUGUUUUAAUUGUAUUUUUUUUCUAAAUUUUAUACAAUCUCAUAAAAAUCUAUCAGAAUGUCCGGACGAGAAGGUGGCAAAAAAAAACCACUAAAGGCUCCAAAAAAAGAAAGCAAAGAAAUGGAUGACGACGAUCUUGCAUUCAAGCAAAAACAAAAAGAGCAACAGAAAGCUUUAGCAGAAGCUGCAAAAAAGGCUGGCCAAAAAGGGCCUUUGGUCACUGGAGGAAUAAAAAAAUCCGGCAAGAAAUAACAAUAAUUUUUUAAAUAUUUAUUUAAUAAAAAUUAAAUCGAAACUAUAGAUUAUACUUAAUUAUUGAGUUAAUAAAAUUUAAUAUUAAACGUUAA